rnacentral:siRNA from 1 species
GUGGCCUAUGCAAACUACUCA